rnacentral:misc_RNA from 1 species
AAGUUGUAACAAGGUCUCCGUAGGUGAACCUGCGGAGGGAUCAUUAACGAAUGGUCAUCCUUGAUCUUCUACCCUCAAAGCAACUGUGGACACCAGAUGUGCUUCGGCGUCGAGAGGCGCCGCCUUUAUGCUUCAGAGUAUUGUAGUCUGUAUGAAACAAUAUCAAAA